ACUCCUACGGGAGGCAGCAGUAAGGAAUAUUGGUCAAUGGACGCAAGUCUGAACCAGCCAUGCCGCGUGGAGGAUGAAGGCCCUCUGGGUUGUAAACUUCUUUUAUUGGGGAAGAAACCUGUCUUUUCUAAGGCAGUUGACGGUACCCAUUGAAUAAGCACCGGCUAACUCCGUGCCAGCAGCCGCGGUAAUACGGAGGGUGCAAGCGUUAUCCGGAUUCACUGGGUUUAAAGGGUGCGUAGGUGGGUAGGUAAGUCAGUGGUGAAAUCUCCAAGCUUAACUUGGAAACUGCCGUUGAUACUAUUUAUCUUGAAUAUAGUGGAGGUGAGCGGAAUAUGUCAUGUAGCGGUGAAAUGCUUAGAUAUGACAUAGAACACCAAUUGCGAAGGCAGCUUGCUACACUAUUAUUGACACUGAGGCACGAAAGCGUGGGGAUCAAACAGGAUUAGAUACCCUGGUAGUCCACGCCCUAAACGAUGGAUACUCGACAUCAGCGAUACACUGUUGGUGUCUGAGCGAAAGCAUUAAGUAUCCCACCUGGGAAGUACGACCGCAAGGUUGAAACUUAAAGGAAUUGACG
rnacentral:rRNA from 1 species